UGCGAACUCUAAGCCCUCCUGAUUCAAAAAAGGAAUCCUCCACUAACUCACCAACAAGAGAUGUCUUGGAGAUGAGUGGGAUAUAUCUUGAGGAAGAGAAUACCAUGCAGCAGGAACAGCAAGUACAGAGGCCCUCUAGUGGGAGCAUACGUGGUGUUUCUAGGAACAGCAAAGAAGCCAGUGCAGCUGGACCACAACAGGCUCUAUAAUCACAGUGACAUUCUGAAAGAAGACCUUGAAGCCUGUGGAACAGCUGUCCUUCACCAGCCUCCGAGACUCUUACCUGGAGGUGGCAGCCAUGAAAAGCAAGUCAGAUCUGAACAAGCGUCAGCCUCAGGCUUAUUGAGGGCACAGUUGGGUCAGCACAUGGCCACCUUGAAAGAACGUGAUAAUUCUAUCACAGAAGAGGUAGCUAAGAAGUCUGAAG